AUGCUGCAAAAGCUAAAACUUUACCUGUAAAUACUACUAACAAGAGCAAAUUGAUCCUGUAUGGGCUUUACUAGCAAGCAACUGUUGGAACAGUAAAUACUACUGACCUGGUAUACUCAAUAUGAGGGAUAGAGCCUGGGAAGCUUGGAAGGCUGUUGAAGGGAGGAAGCCAAAGGAGGAGGCUAUGAGUGACUACCUCACCAAGGUUAAACGGCUGCUCGAGGCAGCUGCCACUGCUGCUUAUGCUACUUUGUCACAUCUUGCUCUAUGUAGUACCAUGGUGUCCUCGAUAUCGAAGUAAAGAUCAUGCUGGACUAGGAUCCUAAAAGAAAGCAGGGCACCAUGACUCCUUUGCCAGAUCAUGUUACAAUUCAUGCCCCAAAGGAGGAAGAGGAGUUACACUCCAGAAGAAUUUGAAUGCUACAACCUUUGCAAAAGGAAUUAGGAUUACAUUUCUUCUUCAUAAGCUUCCUUCCGGCAUGUAAUGAGACAAAGUUCUUCUGAUUUAUGUGCUUGAACUAGUUCUAGAUUAACACGAAGGAAUAUUGGGAGUCCUUAGGCCCGUAUCUUAGUUUGUUCCAAUCUUCGCAGGAGUGUUAUUUGUUCUUAUCAUUUGUUUUGAAAACCGACAUGGUUACUCCCACAAAUUUUUACUGUUUUGUAGACUUGAUAUUAGUUAUUUGAAUUCGUAUGUAACACUUCCAAAGCUGGAAUAGUAGACUCAGAUUGGUUGUUUAAAUUCAUUCAAAAUUCUGAAUAUGUAAUUCAGAUGUAAUUUGACCAUUUUUUCGAGUCGUAAGAUGAAUGGUAUGUUCUUCUA